GACUCCUCAGUUCACCUUCUCACCAUGAGGCUCCCUGCUCAGCUCCUGGGGCUGCUAAUGCUCAGUCUCCCUGGGACCAGUGAGGAUACUGUGAUGACCCAGACUCCACUCUGCCUGCCUGUCACCCCUGGAGAGCCGGCCUCCAUCUCCUGCAGGUCUAGUCAGAGCCUCCUGCAUAGUGAUGGAUACACCUAUUUGGAUUGGUUCCUGCAGAAGCCAGGGCAGCCUCCACAGCUCCUGAUCUAUGAGGUUUCCUAUCGGGUCUCUGGAGUCCCAGACAAGUUCAGUGGCAGUGGGUCAGGCACUGAUUUCACACUGAAAAUCAGCAGGGUGGAGGCUGAGGAUGUUGGGGUUUAUUACUGCAUGCAAGCUACACAAGCUCUUCUCACAGUGCUACAUCCUCAAACAGAAACCUCCGUGCUGGGUUGGCCCAGAUGCCCACAUGUGCUGCUUGUCUGGGGAGCAGCUGAGCAGAGUCUCUGA